ensembl:lncRNA
AUUUAUAAUGCAUGCAAUGCAUUAACUUUCCUUUCCAGAUUCCUUCAGUGCUAAGUUUUGUGGCUCACUUUUAGUUACCUUACCAUUUAGGAUUUUGGGUUUUCUCAAAGUGAGCUUCAAAAUAACUAAUCAAAAACUAAGCUGUUGCACUAUUGUUAUAAUUUCCUUCCUUCAAAAGAUCUGGCUUUAUUUGACUCCAACUUUCUCUUACCCCACUUUCAGGUUCUCACAUCGUACUGCCUUUGAUUUCAGGGCAGAUCUACAACAUCCUGCAGAAGAAAAUUAGGUUGAAGACAAGUCUGUAAUUGUGAAGAUAUUUUUCCACUCUCUGACAGGUCAUCUUAUCGAGGCAAACCUGAAGAUGUGCUGAUAUAUUUACUCUCCUGAAGCUGAACUCAGUCAGCCUGAGCUUUACUUGUGCUUUGGUCACUCACUGCCAUCCUAAUGAAGAUUCUGCAUGUCUGAAGAGGAGAAGUUGAGGCUGCUCUGCAAAGGAUAGACAGUACUGAAGAGCAGAACCAGAUGAGGAAACAAAGACAGUUGCAACAAAGACAUCUCUAGUAUGUGCUGCUCCCCAGAUCUCAUCCCCUGUUUGAAAGAAGAGCUUUUUGGUUGUAAGGCAUGCCUGAGCACCCAGAAGGUAUUUAGGCAAUCAGAGAAAUGAGCUCUGACCACUGCAAUUCACUGAAUCGUCUUUAGGGCUGUAGAUUUGGACCUUUUCAGUUGGUGCUAAAGCAGGGUCUGCGUGAACAAGAAAGUGUCCUGGGCAACACACAAAGCAACCAUUUGAUGCUGCGUGUCCCACUGUGCUGAACAGCCACUGCAUGGCAAAGACACCAACGUCACAGUGGGUUAGGUCUGCACUAGUGACUGGGAGAGGAAGAACAGCCUGCAGGACAGAAAUUUGUUUUUACAGCAGAGGGAAAAUUCUCCCAAACAAUAAAAUCAGGUUAGUCGAUGAGGAACAAUAAUGAGGAUGUCAACUUUUCUGGGCUUUUGUACACUAAUCUUGGUGCUCUUACCACAGGGACUCUCUUGGUUCACUCUCAUGUCUCCGUGCCAGCCAGUGGGCAAGGAGCUGUGUGUAACAGGACGAGGCUGGGAGAUGUUUGUGCUCGUGAGCAGCCCAAUUCAUGGAGCUGCAGCUGUUCUUAGUCUUCUAAUCUUGUUGUCUUGGAAGUGGAGUCCAGGUGACUGCAUGGGGAACAAAGACCAUAUCCUUUAUCUUCAGACUGCAAGUCCAUCCGUGAAUUCAAGAGUGUGGCAGGCCGUGUGGCUUGAGGGCCAGCUCUGCAAAUAAAUAAUCUGCUGACCGCUUCAGCAUGUUGAUGUGGAAAAGCUGAUCUCACUCGAAGAGUUCUUUAUGAGUUUCCCACAAACAAGCAAAUGGAGCAAAUAUAUCUGAGUAGCAGGUGCAGUACUUUGGAUCUGCUUGGACAGAUGUAUGUGAAGACAACCCAAGGCUGUCCUGUUUCCACAGUAGAGCGUUUAGAGCAGCUCUCCAUCACAAUAGCCAAAGAAGAGAAAAACAUCACUUUGAUUCCUAUUUUUCCUCCCAGUCCUGUUUGUAAUUCCUUUAGGGAUUAGCUGGAAUUUGACUCUGUCAGUCUUUUCUCUCUUUUUGCCUACUAAAAAAAUAUUACCAUGUCAAGGAAUGCAGAAACCUUUCUCCCUUUGGCAUGAAAACUUUUGCAUAACCAAUGUGAUCUGUGCCAUUACACUUGAGCAGGAUUGUGCAUGUACAAUGCAAUAAAAAAAAAUUGAAAAGAAAUUUCA